UACCCGCAGCACAAGUGGUGGUCAUUAUUAUUGGGCCUAAAGCGUCAGUAGCUGGCCUGUUAGAUGCCUGGGUAAAUCGAUGCGCUCAACGCAUCGAACUCCGGGUAGACCGGCAGGCUUGGGACCGGGAGAGGCGUGAGCUACUCGAGGGGUAGGGGUAAAAUCCUGUAAUCCUUCGGGGAGGACCAGUGGCGAAGGCGUCACGCUAGAACGGCUCCGACAGUGAGGGACGAAGCCCUGGGGCGCAAACCGG
rnacentral:rRNA from 1 species